AUUUCCUACGGGAGAGAGAAAUGUAGUAGGACCUUUAUUCUUAAAGCGUGUUUGGGCUCAUUUAAGAGGGGAAUAUUCUGACAGUAAAUCUAAAUUAAAAAACAAAAACAAAACCAAAAACGAAUGUCAAGAAAUUCAGAAAACUUCAAAAGGAAGUAGGCACCAAAGCUGAUUUUAACACCACACGAUACCGAAGAGCCAGAGGCAAGAGACAUUGAGGUAUUCAAAGUACUGAAGGGUCAGGACCUCAUGAUGUGAGUAUGGCUUACCAGAAUCCUCCAGAAGAAAAUCUUACACACCACAGGUUGGUACCAGCCUGAAAUGCCCUUGGACACUUGGUAUGUACCAGAGGUUAGGGGUGACAGAAAGUGCUGUGUCUAUAGUUUCAGUGAUAUUCUAGGGAGUCCAAAGUAGUUAGAUAGAUAUGAAAGUCCCCUAUUAUAGAUCCUCAAUGAGUUAUAAAUUGAAGGGAAGAAAAGUACUGAAAUAAAUAUUUUAUGUGCCCUGUGACCUGGAAUGUGACACCAAUUACAGAGCUAUUUCUCUAACUGGGCCACCUCCGGAAUGGUCUAAAAAUGACUCGAAGGUAGCUAUCUCACUAGGAAAUUCACUUUUGUAGGAUUUAUUAAUAUAUUGUCUUAAGGAAUAUAAGACCGAUCUGUAGUCCUCCUACAAUACUUAACUAAUUUGUUAUUUUUAUUAAAUUCCAUGGACACGAUAAUUUUUUUUCUUGUGACUUCUGAAAGAGAAUAACAUCUGAAAGGUAUGAGGUAGGCCAAGGGUUUAAAUUUCUAUGCAGCCUUGUCCAAUAAAUACAAUUAGAAAGGAUGGAAAAGUAGAAAUUGAGGGAAAAUCAGUAUCCAUAAUUCAACCUCAAAGGCGUCAUAAUUUGCAUUGUGACAGAUUUGCUUGUGGUCUUCUGAGAUUAGUCUCCGUGAUGAUAGGAUCCAGUAGGGGAUCCUAUUUUUCAUUUGCCUUUUGCUGCUAUCUAACCAUUAGAGGAAUGGUCUGUAGUUCACCAAUCAAGAUGUUUUCCUUACAGAGUAUAAUUUUUUUCAAAGCCCAGAAUUUGACAAGUAUUGGAGAAGCAAUAUAAAAGAGGAGAUACCGAGAAGAAGGAGACUGCGCAGAGACACCUUUGCGGAAAAAAUGGUACAAUGGUACUAGGCUGGAGAGUCAGGAGCCCAAGAGAAGAAGCCACAUUUGCUGAACAACUAAAUGAGGACCCUCCUCUUCCACGUCCUUUUCCCUUCCACCUUCUCUAGAAGACUCUACCUGUUUUAAAUUAUCAGCCAGAAACACGAUGUACACACAGCAGAAGCCCAGCUGGGUGACUAUAAGGAAGAAGCUCACGAUAUGCCUGGAAGAGAAGGGAGAGAGAGAAAAUGUGUUAUAAAAGAAGAGUUGAUUUGUCAA